rnacentral:rRNA from 1 species
GACGAACGCUGGCGGCGUGCUUAACACAUGCAAGUCGAACGGAAAGGCCCUGCUUUUGUGGGGUGCUCGAGUGGCGAACGGGUGAGUAACACGUGAGUAACCUGCCCUUGACUUUGGGAUAACUUCAGGAAACUGGGGCUAAUACCGGAUAGGAGCUCCUGCUGCAUGGUGGGGGUUGGAAAGUUUCGGCGGUUGGGGAUGGACUCGCGGCUUAUCAGCUUGUUGGUGGGGUAGUGGCUUACCACGGCUUUGACGGGUAGCCGGCCUGGGAGGUGACCGGCCACAUUGGGACUGAGAUACGGCCCAGACUCCUACGGGAGGCAGCAGUGGGGAAUAUUGCACAAUGGGCGGAAGCCUGAUGCAGCAACGCCGCGUGCGGGAUGACGGCCUUCGGGUUGUAAACCGCUUUCGCCUGUGACGAAGCGUGAGUGACGGUAAUGGGUAAAGAAGCACCGGCUAACUACGUG